GCCUCUGAGCUGCGGUGAUGUUAGACCCGCGCUCGGCCUCCGGAGCCGUGUGCGCAGGUUCGAAUCCUGCCGGGGGCA
rnacentral:tRNA from 1 species